UCUGACUCAUCUGAAACUUCUGGUGCUGUCACUUCUCACUAAUAUCAACAAUUUCACUAACCUUAGUUUGGAGACCUAAAGUACCUCACAUGGCUGGUACCGCCGUUGCUGAGAGCGAACAAAGCCCUCUCGGUGAAGUCGCGUCUCUUCUCUGUUUUGGCGCCUCAGUGGUGGAAUGAACUCCAGAUGAUUGUCAAGACAGCACAGUCACUCUCCACUUCCACAAAAGACUCAAGACUCAUUUGUUCAGACUUCACCUCGACCCGUCAGAGCACGACUCCUUGCACCGCUUUUGAAGCUGCUUUUGGAUUUACAUCAUGUACUUAAUACUGUCCUGUAGUUCCCUUACUGCAUUUAUGAUAGCUAUUUGUUCCAGCUCCGCACACAGUGAGAGAUGUAAUACAGUCAGUUUGUCAAAGUGCUAGUUCUACAAUGUUGAGAAGUACUUAACUUGAAAAGCCUUGAUAUAUAAUGCAUUUAUUCAUUAGAAUGAACUAUAAAGGCUGUGAGUUGUUAACAACAACAUACAUUAAUCUAAAAUGAGACAUUGUGAUUGAUACAGAUUACAGAGUUUGGUCCAUCCAGCAUUUCAGCCAUUUAGAGCAUUCACUUCUCAUAUGAUAUGGCAUACAGCACGGCGGUGGGGAGUGAAUCAGGGUUCAGUAUCUCCCCGACGGACACCUAAAUGGGGAACAUUAUGUCUGCUGUGAUCAAACCAAGAGCCUUUCAGUGACAAGAUACUCUCUUGGACUAUUACACCAUCCUCCUUUGUCAACAGUGCUCUCCUCUCUGUGACAGUGUGAAGAAAAAACAAACCCAACAAGGCAGACCUGUUUUAUUAUCCUCACUUUGAGCCUUUUCUCAAUUCCCCCAGCAUGGGUACAAACAACAUUUCAUCCUUCAGAUGUGUGAAUCUUUUCUUUCAUGUCCAGCAUCC